rnacentral:rRNA from 1 species
AGAUUGAACGCUGGCGGCAGGCCUAACACAUGCAAGUCGAGCGGCAGCACGGGUACUUGUACCUGGUGGCGAGCGGCGGACGGGUGAGUAAUACGUAGGAAUUUGCCCUUAAGUGGGGGAUAACCCGGGGAAACCCGGAUUAAUACCGCAUGACCUCGAAAGAGCAAAGUGGGGGAUCGCAAGACCUCACGCUUUUGGAGAAGCCUACGUCGGAUUAGCUAGUUGGUGAGGUAAUGGCUCACCAAGGCGACGAUCCGUAACUGGUCUGAGAGGAUGAUCAGUCACACCGGAACUGAGACACGGUCCGGACUCCUACGGGAGGCAGCAGUGGGGAAUAGUUGGACAAUGGGCGCAAGGCCUGAUCCAGCAAUGCCGCGUGUGUGAAGAAAGGCCUUACGGG